ACGGGUGAGUAACGCGUGGGUAACCUGCCUUGUACUGGGGGACAACAGUUGGAAACGACUGCUAAUACCGCAUAAGCGCACAGCUUCGCAUGAAGCAGUGUGAAAAACUCCGGUGGUACAAGAUGGACCCGCGUCUGAUUAGCUGGUUGGUGAGGUAACGGCUCACCAAGGCGACGAUCAGUAGCCGGCUUGAGAGAGUGAACGGCCACAUUGGGACUGAGACACGGCCCAAACUCCUACGGGAGGCAGCAUG
rnacentral:rRNA from 1 species